AGUGCUAGUCAAUCAUUUUAUAUCCCCAUCACUUCCUUUUAUUUUGUUUUAGUUUCUCACAAACUUGUAUCAAUUUUUUUUGUUUUUUUAAUGUCAUAACUCAUAAUUUUGAAAGAAUUAGUAUUCACCAUUUUAGAUUUGCAAUUAGAUGAUUCUUGCCUUUUUUAUUUUUAUAUACCAUCCAUUGAUUCUGUGUGACCAGCCUAUAACAAGAUGUUUUUAUGCAUAAUGUACCUGUGUGUGUUUGUCAUGGCCGUCUGUCCUAUUGUUGAUGUGCUUAGGUAUUCUAGAUCUGAACACAAACCACUCAAUUACUUUCUAUCCACUUUGUUACAAAGAAACUUACGAUUUAUGCAAUAUCCAUUUUUCUUACCACGGGCUGUAUUCCCAGCUUCACCAUGGCCACUUCUCACAAUAUUAUUUUCUUUUUAUAAAAUUCCAUUUUACCCAGUUGUCAAAAAAGAAUUUUUUAUACCAAAACAAAAAAAAAUUGUUAAAAAAGGUGAAAAAUUUUAUUCUAUUAUAUGAAUGGCAAUGGUUGGUGUCAUCUGAUAUUAUAUGACUUCAGGUCAAGGUUAAAUCAGACCAAGUCAGGGUCAUUUAAUUGCAAGCACCAGUCAUAUUAUGUAGAAUACAUCAAAUAUGUGUUAUUACAGACAUUAUUGAAAAUGAGAAGAAUAGACACAAGAAUUAAAUGCUUUAUUUUAUAAUGACAUGUAUAAGAUGUUAAUCCUGUAUUCAAUAACCCUCCGGACUUGCUUUUGAAUUGAAUCACAUUGUGUAUUCAAAGGUAGAGACAAAUUAUUGCAGUAUUAUAUAAAUACGAAAAAUAACUUAUGUAAAUGACUUGUACUGUUGUUGUGAUUUUGAGAGUAAUAUAUAAGAAAGCUUGGAUUCUGUACAGAGCUUGCUGUCUAGAUAGUGUUUUUUGUAUUUUAAUAUUAUUUACCUUGUAAUGUAUGUCAGAUAAUCUUGAGAUGCAACUGUUUGAGACAAAAAGUAUAAAGAUAUUUUUUAUUUUAUCAGGGUUUCCAGUAGAAACUCGUGAAUAUUAUAUUUGGUGAAAUUAUAAAAAAUGUAAAGUUUUAUUUUUCUGCAAAUAAAAAUCUUACCA
rnacentral:misc_RNA from 1 species